rnacentral:tRNA from 2 species
UCCCCGGUAGCUCAAUUGGCAGAGCACGCGGCUGUUAACCGCGGGGUCGAGGGUUCGAAUCCCUCCUGGGGAGC